rnacentral:lncRNA from 10 species
CCUAGUUUUUGAAAUAUUCUAUUUUUUGUGGUUUUUGACAAAGUCUAAUAUUAUUCUGUAAGAUAGUUUGAUGUUUCAAGAAACGUUAUAACAGCGUAUUAUUCUUUAAAAUGACAAUCAUUUUGAAGAGGGCAAAUAGCUGGCUAUGUGAAAUUCCAAAGAAACAACCACACAUCUGUCCACAUGAAAAACAAGUUGCUGGAAUGUAUAAGUAUUUUGAUGGAUUUUAGAUUUAUCUCCUCAUAUGCUAUCAAUUUUGAGAUUUUAACGCCAAACUAGCAUUUCUCUUUAUUGACAACAAUUGUUAUAAUAAUCAGUUGCAUGUAUGUGUGAGAAAGAGACACAAUAAGUAAAAUAAUUGUAUGACUUUAUACCUUGUCAUUCUUUUUGAAUUUUAGACAUGGUUUCCCUUUAUCGCUGAAGCUGGAAUACAGGGAUUAUAGCUCACUGCAGCCUUCGGCUCCUGGGCUCAAGUGAUAAUCUUGCCUCGGUAUCCCAAGUUGCUGAGUACCUGAGACUAAAGGGAGAAGAUGAAAUUUCCAAUCAACUUCACAGUACUGUUUUAAAGAGACAGAAUGACCAGGCCUCUUCUGAUACAGGCUCCCACUAUAUGCCUCUGCAGAUGUAGGACAGGCUGUACCAAGAGUUGGUUUUCUCUCAGGAAAAAUGGAUUGGGAUAAUCCAGCACAGCUAUAAUUUUGUUACUAUUUUUAUUGUACCUCAAUGUGAUUUGAAGUAUGAAGGGCAGCGAAUUUGAAUCGUGGGAUUACCAGCUUGAUCCAGAAGUCCUAACCAUUGUCUUACAGAUCACCAGCAUCCAUGUCACGAGGACCCUUGACCAUCCUGAGGCCAGCAUCCAUGUCAUGAGGACCUUUGAGCAUCCUGUAGAGUGGUUCAUGUGGCAAAGAGCCAAGGCCUACCAGCAAGCAAGUGAGGUUGGAAGCAGUCCCUCCUCUAUUUGAGCCUUAGAUGACUGCAGGUCCUUGACUGUAGCCUAUGGAAAAGGCCCCCAGCAAACCCGCACCUGUUUUGUUCCACCUGUUUCCACAUAAACUGGGAGAUGAUAAAUGUUUGUUGUUUUAAGCUACUGAGGUUUAGGAGAAUUUGUUACAUAGCAAUAGAUAAUUAACAAACUUCAUAAUUCUUAAAAUAUUAAUUAAAGCUAUUAGAAAUAAUUAUUCACAUAUCAUAUUGACAAGGAUUGAAGUCUAAUGAUGCCCUAUGUUGAUAAUGUGUGGGAAAAAGACGCAUGCUACUGCUUACAGUGUGUAACUUGGUUCAUUUUUAAAGGGAAGAUAAUUCAUCACUGUGUACUAAAGUUUUAAAUGUUCAUCCUCAUUUACCCAGCAAUUUAUCUCUAAGAGUAUCUGCACAAAAUAUAUGCCCAAUAAUUAAGGACAGAUUAUAUUAAUUAUGGUUCACACAUGAAGUGGAAUACCUUGUGGCUUUUAUCAAAAAUAGGGUAUAUCUAAAUGUGCCGAUAUGUAAAGUUGCCAAAUAAAUAAUGCUGUUACUCUUGCAUUAUUUUCCAUUUCAUUUGGCUCAAUUUUCUCAAGACUCUCCACCCUGAUAUUGACAGAAUUUUCAGAAAUGUGUAUUCUAUAUUUAAGCAGAAUAGUUUGGACAUUAAGGUGUUGACUCUGGGGCCAGUUGCUAGGUUCAAUCUCUUCUCUGCCACUUUUUCUGUGACCUUGGAUAGGUUACUCUGUGACUGCAACUUACCCUAUAAGUUAGGUAGUAAUUGCCUUACAGGCAUUUUUGGAAAAUUCAUGAGUUAAUAUAAUUUAAGGAUUAUAAUAGUUCUUGGAAUAUAGUAUGGACUACAUAGUGUUGAUUCUUUUCUAAAUUGUUAAUUAUAUUUGUAUAUGGCAAUUUUAUCUAGAUCAGAGUUUUCCUAAAGAAUAAUUUGGACAGCUUUUGGGGAUGCUUGAGCAGGCAGUUUCAAGGAUGUGGUCUUUGAGUAGUUUCAUCAGAUUUGCCCUUGGUGCAUGUCUCUUCUUAGUGUCCAUGUUCAAAAUUUUCUACCAUCUUGGUUAGCAGGGGACCUUGGUGGCUCAAAUUAAGCCCUAUUUAGAAAAUUUAUUUGCAUUACUUUAGAUAUUAAAAUAAUUAUUUUAUAUUUUCACUGAUACUGCCAGAAUAUGCUAUGUUUUCUGUUUUGAAAAGAUGAACUAAAUGACCUCCCUCUGAGUCCACCAACAGCUCAAUUUUAUUUCCAGAUGAAAUCACCAUUACCAAAAUGCUAGCAGCCAGACAGCAGUCUCAGUCCAGAAUUCAAAGCCAAAAUGCUGAUUGAAAUUCACGGUAUUCAUAAUAGAAUGGACUAGGUACAGAGUUCACUGGGAACAUAGCUGAUGGAUGAAGUCCUUCUGCAUAUAGGAAUGUGACAUUCUUCACAGAAUAUAUGGCAUUUAAGAUGAGAUAUUAAGGAAAUGUUGGGUGGAUACAGAGAAUUUGGAAAGAAAGAGUGGACCUAAGUCAAGCUAAAAUAUUUAGAAUGUAUCUUUCAUCUAAAAGAGGACACUGCCAUUAGUAAUACAAUUUGUUCAAUGAUAAUUGUGAGAAAGGCAUAGAAGAGGCUUAACAGUGGAUAGAUAUUGGUGGCAUAAAGACAAAGCAGGAGAAAGGCAUAAGCUAAGGCAGCAGCAGAGAACAGGGCUUGGUUUUAAAGAGUCAUCUACUGCUAAAUAGGAGGACUGAUAAACCAGAA